UAGUGAGUGUUAGAGCCGCCCGUACCCCAAACCGACACAGGUGAUCAGGUAGAGAAUACCAAGGCGAUCGAGUGAACCAUGGUUAAGGAACUCGGCAAAACGCCCCCGUAACUUCGGGAGAAGGGGGGCCGGAUGCGUUACCUCACUUGCUGGGGGAAGCGUUGAUGGCCGCAGAGACCAGGCCCAAGCGACUGUUUACUAAAAACACAGGUCCGUGCGAAGAAGUAAUUCGAUGUAUACGGACUGACGCCUGCCCGGUGCUGGAACGUUAAGGGGACAGGUUAGCUGGUUUAGGCCGGCGAAGCUUUGAACUUAAGCGCCAGUAAACGGCGGUGGUAACUAUAACCAUCCUAAGGUAGCGAAAUUCCUUGUCGGGUAAGUUCCGACCUGCACGAAUGGCGUAACGACUUGGGCGCUGUCUCAACCAUGGACUCGGAAAAUUGCAUUACGAGUAAAGAUGCUCGUUACGCGCAGCAGGACGGAAAGACCCCGGGACCUUUACUACAACUUGGUAUUGGUGGUCGGUACAACUUGUGUAGGAUAGGUGGGAGACUGUGAAAUCCGGACGCCAGUUCGGGUGGAGUCAUCGUUGAAAUACCACUCUGGUUGUUCUGGCUGUCUAACUUCGGUCCAUUAUCUGGAUCAGGGACAGUGCCUGGUGGGUAGUUUGACUGGGGCGGUCGCCUCCUAAAAGGUAACGGAGGCGCUCAAAGGUUCCCUCAGCCUGGUUGGCAAUCAGGUGUCGAGUGUAAGUGCACAAGGGAGCUUGACUGUGAGACAGACAUGUCGAGCAGGGACGAAAGUCGGAACUAGUGAUCCGGCGGUGGCAUGUGGGAGCACCGUCGCUCAACGGAUAAAAGGUACCCCGGGGAUAACAGGCUGAUCUUCCCCAAGAGUCCAUAUCGACGGGAUGGUUUGGCACCUCGAUGUCGGCUCGUCGCAUCCUGGGGCUGGAGUAGGUCCCAAGGGUUGGGCUGUUCGCCCAUUAAAGCGGCACGCGAGCUGGGUUUAGAACGUCGUGAGACAGUUCGGUCCCUAUCCGCUGCGCGCGCAGGAGACUUGAGAAGGGCUGCCCCUAGUACGAGAGGACCGGGGUGGACGAACCUCUGGUGUGCCAGUUGUUCCGCCAGGAGCACGGCUGGUUGGCUACGUUCGGGAGUGAUAACCGCUGAAAGCAUCUAAGCGGGAAGCACGCUUCAAGAUGAGGUCUCCCACCGAGUUAAUCGGGUAAGGCCCCCAGUAGACCACUGGGUUGAUAGGCCAGAGGUGGAAGCGCCGUAAGGUGUGGAGCUGACUGGUACUAAUAGGCCGAGGGCUUGUCUCA
rnacentral:rRNA from 1 species